rnacentral:tRNA from 1 species
AAGGGUAUAGCUCAGUGGUGGAGGGCACGCUUAGCAUGCAUGAGGUCUUGAGUUCAAUCCCCAGUACCUCUG